UAUAUAGAUAUAUAAAUAGAAAUAAAUCUAUACACAAUUUAGUAUCAUAUGCACAUAAAUAUUUUUUAAGUUUCCAAAUAUUCUCUUCUAGUUGAAUAUAAAAAUGGCAAGAAAAAUCAUGCUAAACAUUCAAUGUGAAAGUUUUAUGAGAAAACAUGAAAGGUGAACUCUUGGCCUUUGAAGUAUUAAAGGUAUACAGACAUUCCUUUGAAGAAGGCAAAUGUUAUACAAUAUAUGCAUUGUUCAAUGACAAAUUUACAUGGUGUCAAAAUAACAUUCAGGCUGUGAUUAAAUUGGCAAAUGUAAGCACAAGUGACCAAGCUGAUUUCGUUGUAUGUUUGUCUACUGUUUUCAAAAUAUAUUUUUUUUACCAACUUGUAAAGAAUUUCUAUUCCCAAGCCUUCCUGUUGACCAUCCUUGGUAAAAUGAUGAGAAUAUGGUGCAGUUGUAUACAUUUUGAACAGGACAAAGGAGAGAAAGAACAUCUGCCCAGCUGGGUCAUAUGUGCGUUGACAGCGAGCGGCAGAACAAGGAGUACCAGGGGCUUAUGGACUUCACCUCACAGCUGGAGUAGGAGAUCUCUCUGUAUCGCAGCCAGCUAGAAGGCCAGGAAUAUUGCUACAACAACCUGCCCAACUCCAAGGUCCUCUGAGUGGCAGGCUCCUGGGUUUCUGCUCUCCUUCAGGGGGAGUCCCUAGGCUGGGGAAUAGGAAUCGAAGGACCCUUACCUCUGGCUCUUCACUGACCUGCCAAUAAAAUAAUAUGGCCCAAGGAAAAAAAUUAAAAUAAUAAAAAUAAUCAGAUAAUAAAAUGAAAUAAAAUACAAUAAACAUUUUAUUUUAAUAUCUACUUUUUUUAUUUUUCGACCCUGCUUCUUAUCUAGGGUCCAAUUUCAUUAAUAUCUUUGCAUGCUGAGCAUGUGUUCUGGAC
ensembl:lincRNA